rnacentral:SRP_RNA from 1 species
GUUAGGCAUGGUGGCAUGUACCAUGCAGUCCCAGCUAUUCAGGAGGCUGAGGAGGAGGAUCACCUGAGCCCAGGAGUUCUGGGCUGUAGUGCGCUAUACCGAUCAGGUGUCCUCACUAAAUUUAGCAUCAAUAAGGUGUCCCCCCAGGGAGCUGGGGACCACCAGGUUACCUAAGAAUGGGUGAACCUCCCAGGUCAGAAAUGGAGCAGGUCAAAAUUCCCAUGCUGGUGGGUAGUGGAAUCAUGCCUGUGAAUAGCCACUGCCCUCCAACCUGGGCAACAUAGUGAGACCCCAUCUCA